rnacentral:rRNA from 1 species
UACGAAGGGGGCUAGCGUUGCUCGGAAUUACUGGGCGUAAAGCGCACGUAGGCGGCUUUCUAAGUCGGGGGUGAAAUCCUGGAGCUCAACUCCAGAACUGCCUUCGAUAUUGGAGAGCUCGAGUCCGGGAGAGGUGAGUGGAACUGCGAGUGUAGAGGUGAAAUUCGUAGAUAUUCGCAAGAACACCAGUGGCGAAGGCGGCUCACUGGCCCGGUACUGACGGCUGACGGUGCGAAAGCGUGGGGAGCAAACAGGG